UACGGGGGGGGGUAAGCGUUGUCCGGAAUUAUUGGGCGUAAAGGGCUCGUAGGCGGUUUGUCGCGUCGGGAGUGAAAACACCGGGCUUAACUCGGUGCUGGCUUUCGAUACGGGCAGACUAGAGGUAUGCAGGGGAGAACGGAAUUCCUGGUGUAGCGGUGAAAUGCGCAGAUAUCAGGAGGAACACCGGUGGCGAAGGCGGUUCUCUGGGCAUGACCUGACGCUGAGGAGCGAAAGUGUGGGGAGCGAACAGG
rnacentral:rRNA from 1 species